GUGAGAAAAGCCGAGGGGGGUCUGGCUUCACGGCGGAGAUGGAAGAUACCGCGCCGAGUGUGUGUUUUUGUGUAUGCAGAGUUUUGCAUGCAAGUGUGUGUGAGAGAAAAAGAUCCCCAUGCACACACAAAUACACACACACAUGCACUUCAGCCACGCAGAACAGACAGUCCCAGCAACAUGAAAUUCCAAGUAGAUUUAAUAUGCACAGUUGCACAAAUGGCAUGACUCGGAAAGCCUCCAAACCUCUCUUUCUGAGGUGAAAAACCUCCUCUUGAAGACGGGAGAGAAAGAAAACUAAUUCCACGGAGGACAGGAGUUGUAGCCGAGUGAGCGGAGGCGUUGGGAAAAGUGUCUCUGCAACACAGACGGUGAGACUCACUGCAGCGUGGUGCGGCCAACUCAUCUCCUCGUGCAAUUGUGAAUGUACUACGAGCAUGUCAUGAUGGAUAAACGCUGUCACGGAGAAAGGUUCGGUGGAUCAGAGUCUACACUUCCAAGGAUCCUUUUCCAUAGUUAUUGCCCAACUACAAAAAGAAAUGUAUAGACCUGUAGAGUUUGACCUAAAGCCUAAGGUUAACAUGAUUCCACGGCAUAAAAUAUGUAUGUUUCCACCACAGACUGAGGGCUCCACUUCGGCUCUAUGGCCGGCACCAUCUUGUCAUCAUGAUUAACUGCAGAGCAAGUUGUUUUGUCUGUCAGAUAAUACCAUUAAAAUGCUCCUCCAGUGGAUGUGAGGCCUAGCAGAUAGCUAAUGGCUACAGCUAACCGCACCCCUAAAUUCUAAUCCUUUAAUUCAUCCUGCGUAAAUACGUGGUCGGUGUGAACGGCUGCAUUAAGAAUAGGUGAGUCUGAAACAUUUUUUUAGUGCACAAAAUGUUUGCGUGAAUUUAAAGGCCUUUAGUGUAAAUAUGUUCACCGUUCUCAGAAGGUGUUAGCUAACAUGUUGAUUUUCAGGUCUGGUAGUCCUGGUUGUUAGGUGGCCACACUUUUGCCAUCAAGCCUCUUAGGUUCAGUACCCGCCUUCAAAUCAUUCACACUUGCUUGUAUUGUAUGUAUGUAGAUUCAUCCUUUGUCGCCUAUUGUUUUUUAUUAUCUUUUUAGUCUUUUACUGGUGUUUAUGAGCAACGCGUUACUGUAAUCCGAUUACUUUUUUCAAGUAACUUGACCAACACUGUUUAUGAGUCAUGUUCUGUUUUGAACUCCAUACCUAUGUUUUUGCGAUUUUCUGUUUUAAUUUACUGUCUGAGUAUUCUGGUCAUGAUUUUCCAAGCACUUUAAGAUUCAUAUUAUUGUAGUAGUACUGUUAUAAGAAACUAAAUGAGACUAUAGUUGUCAGAGACAUUCUUAUCAUCAAACACAGGAGGUUACAGACGCUGAAAUCACGUAACCGUGAUGCUGUUGAUUACUAAGUAAUUUAGGCAUAAAGAAACCUGUAAAGUGCAAUUAAAUUAUUAAGGAAAGAAUAAAAAACUAUCAUAAA